GUGUGAAACGCGUCGUUUAGAGAUUAGGAAACGGGUUCGACCCGGUUUUGUUUGGUUGGGUCGGGUAGAGCAGGUCGGGUUGGUAAUAAGUUGAUUUCAUUAAGGUCCCUAAUGUCUUUAACCACGUUUUACCAGAUUUUAUAUUUUAAAAAAAUAAAAAUAUAUAUUAUUUUUUAUUACAGGGUGAAAUCAGCAUUUGUGAUGGAGAGGGAGGGGCAUCUGUCGAUCUCGUCGUCUCUUCUUUCUCCUUUGUGAACUCCUCUUUCUUCUCCGCUGGUGUAAGGCGUGGUCUCUUAUCCGGUUUAGUCUCCUCUCUGCUUCUCGCAGUCCAGACUCCUCUCAACUCCUCUGCAUUCGUGGCUUCUCUCCAUUCAUCUGCAAUUGACAUAGGAGCAGAUGUUCGGAGGAUCUCGUCCUCGACGGCGAAUGAUAACCAGUGACAUUUAGAUGCAGUUCCAUGGAAGACGAGGUUGAAUCGCUUAUGCUUGAAAGUGUGAAGACUGUAUGUUGAGAAACCGGAAGGAUGGCAUCGGAUCUUACAAAUCUGUUCCCUAUCUCUGUUAACGAAGGUGGUGCUCUAGGCGUCAAAAGUGGUGGUUCCGGCGUCGACAAUGGUGGCUGAGCGCAAUGGAGGAGACUGAAGAAGCUUUACUGUGGUGGUCUCGGCGUCAAAAAAGGAGUGUGGUGGAGAUUGAAGAAGAACGUGGUUUAGCUAUAUUAGGUUUAGUUAGAGUUAGUUAAUAAACCGGGGUUAUAUGUAAACCCGUUUUCAUAGUAAACCGAUAUCAUUUGUAAACCAAAAUUUUAAUUAUAAAUAAAUUUAUUCUCAAAAAAUUAUAUUAGAAUUCAAUUUUAAUUUUAAAUGUGGAUUAAAAUAUAUUAAUUUAUAAUUUAUAAUUUAAAUUAAUAAUUAAUAAUUUUAUAAUAUAAAUGAGAAAUAAUAAAAUAGCACAGAUCAAAUGAUAUAAAAGAUUAUCGUAUAGCCAAAGAUUAAUGCUACAAUAUCUCUAUAUAUUUUAGCUCAUGAAAAAACGCUACAAUAAGAAGGGGUUUACCAUAGCUGCGGCAGACCUAGCUUUUGUGAAAACGCUACGAAAACCUUAUGGGUAGCGUUUUCAGUGUGAUACUAAUGCCGAUAUUUCUUGUAGCGACAUGACCUUUCCCCUUGCUUUGGUCUCACUUGCACGAUAUCGCAAAACACUUCCCACAGGUCACCCAUCUUUUCACUACUCCAGCCCAAGCACGCUUAACUCUGGAGUUCUAAAUGGAUGGUUGACCGCAAAGGUAAAUCGACUUUGGUGACAUAGGUAGCCAAAUUAAUUAUCUUAAGUCUUUCCACAUAUACCAGAAAUCAGGAUGUUACAUAAUCUUUCUCAUCAAAGGGUUGUCGUAACCUCUGUAGAAGAAGUUACGCUCCUUGUUAUUUUGUUUUGUUCUCCAAUAAUGUUGUUGAUUCGCGGAUAAAUAUUUCUGGGUUAAAAUUUGUUUAAUAUGUUUGCUUACCGGUUACAGUCAUUCCUAUGGUUAUUUAUAAGAAGGUGAUCAGGGAAGAGAUGAAAAUUUUGGUUUGGUGCACACCUAUGGAGAAUCAUGCAUGGCAAAGAAGAUUCUUACCUAUGAUGGCAGGAAGCUUGUGACAUCCCAAUCCAGUAUAACUGAAACUGUCGGCUAUAUUAGGAUACUUUUCUCUAGUCACAUGGGACAAGACAAUAUGUUUUUCAACAAAUUAGGAUCCAAGAAGUCUUUGACAAAAAACCACCAAUAUGAACAGAAUCUGUAAAAAGAAAGAGAAAAACGAGGGGUGAACAUUUCAAUAAAAUCUCAGUAAGAGUAGCUAUAGGAUCCGCAAAAUCAUCACCCAACAUUUACCAUACAACAGAAAAAAAUCUACAUAGAAUAUCCAGUAAAAAAAGUUCAAACAAUAAGUAACGAGGAUAAACCCCCACGUUGCCAACAUGAGACCACACCACCUCAUUCGGUCCCCGCGUUUCUCAUGUUGUCGCAUCAGAGCUCACCACCUCAUUCGGUCCCAUGAGUUCAACGCCUUCACGCAAUCACAUUACCUAAAUAGGUUUACGCAUGAUCCUCCACCAAAUUAACACGAUUAAGCCACCUCAUUCUGUUCUCGCGAGAUCUGGCCACACCAUCUGCCCGUUCCAGUGUUGAAUCAUGCCACCUCAGUCGGUCCAUGCAUGACUCAACCAGAAACGAUGCAAUGCACAAGAACUCUCAAUCGCGUUGUACCGGAAACGACAAACCUUAAGGCUCAACCUGCAAUGGCAACGACAAACCUUAAGGCUCAACAGAAAUAUGUUAACAGUGAGAAACAAUAAAACAAAGGGAAAAACAUUCAAGUCUAAACUUGCCAUUCUAACCACGUAAAUCCUACAGGGAGUUUCUCAUCACGUUCGUCUCUGGAUCCCUUUCUUGAAUGUUCAAGGUCUUGUAUAUAUAGUCUCUCAAAGUCGGACGUGUUUAUUUUCCGUUGAUUCCUAUCUUCCUUUUCCCAAUUUUCUUUAUCCGCCUAGAUUUGAGUUUAUGCUUUUCUGAAAUCUCCUGUUAUCUUGUAUUUUUCCUUAUUCUUCUCCAAGUAAAUCGUCAUUGAAAUUGGGAUACUUUGAACCUUAAGUCGUAAGUGGGGCGUUUCAGGCUGUUUUACGACUUACUCAUUCUUACAACGAAUCUUGGAAUAACCGUUAAUUUACUCGAAGUUUUGCUUUUGGUGCCUUUGGUCUAUGAAAUGAUAAAAAUAUUUUCUUAGUUGAAAACAUUAUGUUUUUGAAGUGUUUAUCUAAACACUUGGCUAAACUUUAUGAGAAAUCAAAGUGUUUCUUGUUUUCUUCGUAUAUCAACGACAACGAUUGCAAUGAAACGAAGAGCGUUUUGGACUACAUUUGAACGAGAACAUGACUAGACAAAGAAUGGGCGAUGAGGAGUGGGCGAUGUAGAAUAGGCGAUGAGGAGAGAGAGAGGUAACGGGGGAUGAGGCUAUGGCGAUGAGGAAUGAGAGAGAUCUCAAGGGCGAUGAGGUCAUAGCAAUGAGGAGAGAGAGAGAGAGCUCACAUGCGAUGAGGCCAUGGCGAUGAGGAGAGAUAGAGAGAGCUCAAGGGAGAUGACGGAUUGAGACAGAGCCGAACCUGUUUCGACCGGAUAUUCGUGGAUAUUUAUACUAUUAUCCAUCGGUUAAUUUUGAUUAUACCAAAACCGAGCCGAAUCAGUCAAAAUCAGGUCGGAUCCAGCUUAGGUGAACAGAUGAUUUAUGUUAAGGUGGUAUAAAGUUAUGAUAAUAUUUAAAAACUUUGCAUUUUCCUAGUGGUUUGUGAUCUUUUUAUGGGCGACAACAUUGGGUUUGAGUUUCAGAAGGGACAAAAUUUCUAAUUUGCUCUUUAAUAAAAAAAAACAUUGUUUUGGCUAAUAGUGUCACGUCAGAUGUCCAGUAAGCCAAUUUAACUGUUGACUAAUUUAUGUCACGGACAAUACAGAUUUAAGCAUGUUUUAAAAUUUUGGAUAGUUUAUUUGAAUCAUAAUCGAGUUGAGACCGUAUUUAGCACGGAUCACUUAUUCUGGUCGUAUUUAGCACGACUGAAUUUUUUGGAUUGUAAUAGGCCUUUUUCCCUUGACUUGUUUGUUUGGGACUUAACUCAAUUACACAUGCGGCCAUACUUCUCUGUUUCUUCUUCCUUAGGUUGAACCUGUCCAAUAAAGAUGUGAGGCCCAAAAAACCACUUUAUUGCUGACCAUUCCUCACAUCCUAUCUCAUCUGCUUUAAAAGUACAUACGUAAAAUACUUAAUGGUGUCAAACAAACCGUUUCUCCUAGGAGCCACAGGAAGAAAAGUUCUAUAGACAAAUCCUAGUCGUCUCGACACGUAACCUUAAUCUUUAUGGCUCCCAAGGCACCAAAUUUUUUUACAACAACCACUUCUAAUCUACAUUUCCCAAGGGAUGGAGAAAUGACUAAAUUGCCAUGAUUGAAACUCUCGUUUAAAAUGUAUUAUCAAAUCAUCCUGAACCACACAAUCUUCUACUUUUUCUUCGUUUCUCUCAUUUGACUAGGACCCACGUAUUAUUCUAUCUUCUUCUUCUUCACCAUGAUAAUACAACUCAUAUAACUCAUAUAACCAAACAUGUUAACAAGUAGUACAACUAGUAUAACUGAGACUCAUACCUUUUUUCACUUAUGACUGAGACCCACUUUCUCUUAAAUCUAUCUUCGUUUCCAAUUUUUUUUCACUUAAACCUAAACAUCACGCCUUUGAAUACUCAGCAACAAAAAAAUUUCUUCUUCAAUUCUUCAUCCACAAGCAUUUCCAUUUGUUUCCCAGAGACUUUUAACAGUUAGGACACGAAAAAACACCACAUGUGCAUAUUCAUCGGUUAUUCAGUCGCUUAAUGUGUGUAAUGCUCUCUUUCUAUCCCACUAUUUCUUUCCUUAUAUCUCUAUCUCUAUCUCAUUUAAAGAUGGUACGAAUGGUACAAAUUUUAACACAAAACUCAUUAACAAUCGAUUUAACUGAUAUAACUAGUACAAUACUUUUAAAAAGUGCAAGUAGUAGAAAUUUCAGACAGGUAAUACUGGCACAACAUGUACAACUUUUUAUUAUAUACCAGACAUGUAAUGCUAAUAUAAAUGGUUCAACUUAUUUAUUAUAUAUAUAUUUUUAAACCAACUUGGUUUUCCAUAUGAAAAAAACCCAUCAACUAGCCAAAUUGGUAAGUGUUUAGAAUGAUCAUUCUUAACUAUUUGAUUUCUCUAAAUAUUUUUUUUGUUUUUUAAUUAUUACACGAUCACAUAACUUUACAUGUUAUACCUUAUACUUUAAGGGUUUGUUGACUUAUUUGUCUACUAUAUUUUCGAAAGAAAUACACCAUACGCAUUUUAAAAAAAAUUAAUGAUAUCAUAAUAUGUAAUACCAUGUAGACAAACAUACAGAAGUGGUACAACUAAGGCAUAUUUUUUUUCUUAUGUGGUACAAUUAAGUUUUUCGAUUUUAUUGCCAAAAUACAUCUAUGUACAAAUUUGUACCCUGACUUGUAUUAGUAGUACAACUGGUAAAACUUUGUCAUUUCAAAAAUCGACAAAAACCAAAUGGGUAUUCCAUAUGAAACAACAAUCAAAUAUCUGAAUUGGUAAAUGGACAUAAAUUUUUCUCCUAUUUUUUUGAAAUUUUACCAAUUUUUUAAUAUUAUUACACCAUCAUAUAAAUUUACAUGAUAUACAUUGUAUUUUUAUGGUUUGUGUACUUGGUUGCCCACAUUAUUUUUGAAAACAUACACCGAAGGUAUUUUAACCAAAUUGUUGAUCCCAUAAUAUGUAAUACCAUGUAGGUAAACAUAUAUAAGUGGUACAAAUGAAUUAAUUUUAUUUUUUUAUGGCACAACCAAAAUUUUCAAUUCUGGUGCCGAAAUACAACUAUGUAUUUACUUGUACAACUCAAAAAUCGGUACAACUGUACAACUUAAAAACUUGUACAACUACGAGUUAUCACGUUUAAAGAAGGCUUUGAAAGCUUCUUUGGCUUCAUGAAGGCAUCUGCAUCCUCCAAUGAUCUUCUUCAACAUCCACAAAAAUUAGGAGGGACCAUUCUAACAACCUACCAAUUUAACUAGUUAACUGUUUUUUCAUAUGGAAAAUCAAACGGAAACUUUAAAUUUCUAAAAUGACGAAGUUGCAUUUGUUUUACCAGUAUCACAAGUCUGGUAUACAAUACAAAGUUGUGCCAAUUGUAACAAUAUUACAUGUCUGGUAUAUACCUAAGUUGUAGCAGUUGUACCAUUAUUACAUGUCUGAAAUAAUCAAACAAAUAUUCAAAUUGGUCUAAUGUGAACAAAGCUUCAUCAAUUAUAUUCAAAGUUUUCAAGAAUAUGAUUUAUUCUUGUGAUCGUUGUUAACUCGUUGUAAACUUAUUGUUUCUAAUUGUGUUUUUUUUUUGUCCCCCCGUAUAUGCUUUCUAGGACUUUGAAACACAAAACAAUUCAGUUGAACAAAGUGUAAGCCUUUUAAAACAAAAGUCAAAACACCAACCAUUAAUAGUUGUGCAUUAUCUUUGGCUUUUUAAUGGGUUCUACAUCAUCUUCUGCAUUAUACUAUUUUAAUCCUUUUUUAUUGAAACAUUUCCCCGCUACGAAACUACCUUUUUCAGCUUUGAGAGCAAAAAAAUGAAGAUGACUUUUUCGAAAAUGGCUUAACUAGUACAAGAACUAAAUCAAAUUAUGUUCAUAUUAAAAUAUGUAAGUUUCACCAUGUUCUUUACAUGUGUUUACAAUAGUAACAGUUGGACAACUAUUGUCUUAAUCCAAACACCAAAUUUGCAUUAUGCUCUUCUAAAUCUUUUUCUACUGCAACUUAUUCAGUUCCACUUCAACCUUCUUCGGCUUCAGGAGAAAAAGAUGAAGACGUAUAUUUCUAGAAAAUAGUACAACUAAUAUAACUAGUAAAAAUUGUAAGCAAAUCAUUAUCCAAACAUAUUUUAUUAAAAGUAGACUAUUCAUGUUUGACACAUGCAAGCAGGGAAUACUAGGCCAACAUAUCUCAUAGUUUCUACAUCAUUCUAUUUUUUUAGCAUCAUUCAUACGCUGAAAAACCAAGAUAUCAUCAUAUUAAUUGCAAAGUUGUACUAGUUGUGAAUGUUCUUGUUGCACUAGUUAUACCGGUUAUACUCAAUCUAUUUGUACUAGUUAUAUUUAUUUUAGUUGUACUAGUUAUAUACUAUUUCGAGUUGUACUCGUACUACUAUGCGUUCUUCUUCAUUGUGAAUUUGUACAUUAAAGAUGAAAUUCAAUUUUGGAUAAGAGAGAACUAAUUAAAUAUGAUCAUGGAUUGAACGAUUUGUGAUAAAAAUGAGAAAAUCAGUGAAUAUUUGAAGAAAUUUUUGGUUUUGUACUAAGGUGAAAUAAAUAUCAAUUGAGAAAGAGGAGGACGAAGAAGAUUUAAGGUUAAAAUUUGAGUUGGGUUAUGGGUUGGAUUCUUGGUCAGGUUUUGAGUAGGAUAUGAGUGGUAUGGAUCUGUAAAUAUGUUGAAGUCUUUAAGUUUUUUUAAUAAUUUUGUCUAUAUUUAAUUUAAAUUUAAAUUUAAUAAAAUAUAAUAGACAUGAGUCAUAUUAGAAAAAUAUGUGUCCAUAGACAUAUUAGAAUUGAGACCGGCAAUAGCAUUGGAGCUGGUCUCCCCUCCUUUCUUUCCUUGUUUUUCUUUUUUGUUAGAUGUGUAUCAUCUGGUCUUCUUCUCUUGAUAGUCAGAGUCUGACGUUUUGUUGAUGAUAUGAAACCUGAAAGGAGGAUAAAGACCAAAGCCUUAAUCUGACUGAAUGAAUGAAAAUCCAUGAGUUAGAACCCUGAGAAUUACAAGCUCUACUUUAUCUACAAUAGCGGCCUUGAGAAGAACGCAACAUGAUCCAAAGUACGACUCAAAAUGAUGAAUCACUACCCAUUCAGAUCAGUGACACUAAAACAGCUCCUCGUAGAAGUAUCAGUCUCCAAAAACAAAACUUACUCUAAAACAUUGACUUGAGGAGCAUACCGCACAUGAGGAAGAGUUUGGGAGAUAAAAGAGAGAAGCCACUGCGAAGAAACUCCGCCACCUCCCCCAACAAGAGAUGCAAAGAAGCAGCGAACAAACCGAAAAGAAAACACUGCAAACAACCAGCACGGCGAACCAGCUAACAAAAUAAACAGAAAAAGAAACAUAACAGAAACACAAUCUCCACUUGAAUCACAUGAAAUCAGAAAAAAAAAGAAGAUAAACCCCACCGUCGAUUGAAGGACCCAGAGCUCCGACCUCAGUGCAAGAUGAUAGAAGACAAUCGAAUCUGAGACUCAGAACCUCUCCUAAACGAUUUGCAGAUGAUGUUGUUGCAAGUAAUUAAUGUUGUGAUUCUGCUCACAUUUACUAGCUUGGGAUGGUCCGAUUUGGUUAAAUCCUAUCGUCAGUCUCAAGACUAAGAUCAUUUUCUAAGUUUCUACUUGCAUGUCUAAUGGAUCUUCAUCCUUUCAUGCUUCUACGCUCACUCUUUAUAAGAUCCACUUUUUCUUUUGGGUGCUCUAUAUGGACUUUUGAUGGUACCUACUGGUACUUUUUGCUGUGUUUUAAUGUUUUGUUAUUACAUUUGUUUUGUUCUACCCGCAAACUGUUUUGCUA